AUUGAACGCUGGCGGCAGGCCUAACACAUGCGAGUCGAGCGGAUGAAGGGAGCUUGCUCCUGGAUUCAGCGGCGGACGGGUGAGUAAUGCCUAGGAAUCUGCCUGGUAGUGGGGGAUAACGUCCGGAAACGGGCGCUAAUACCGCAUACGUCCUGAGGGAGAAAGUGGGGGAUCUUCGGACCUCACGCUAUCAGAUGAGCCUAGGUCGGAUUAGCUAGUUGGUGGGGUAAAGGCCUACCAAGGCGACGAUCCGUAACUGGUCUGAGAGGAUGAUCAGUCACACUGGAACUGAGACACGGUCCAGACUCCUACGGGAAGCAGCAGUGGGGAAUAUUGGACAAUGGGCGAAAGCCUGAUCCAGCCAUGCCGCGUGUGUGAAGAAGGUCUUCGGAUUGUAAAGCACUUUAAGUUGGGAGGAAGGGCAGUAAGUUAAUACCUUGCUGUUUUGACGUUACCAACAGAAUAAGCACCGGCUAACUUCGUG
rnacentral:rRNA from 1 species